CCCUUAGAUGUUCUGGGCCGCACGCGUGCUACACUGAGUGGAUCAGCGGGUCAGGUUGCGCGAAAGUGUUUCCUAAUCUUUAAAUCCGCUCGUGAUGGGGAUUGACGGUUGCAAUUUUCCGUCAUGAACGAGGAAUACCUUGUAAGCGCGGGUCAUCAUCCCGCGCUGAAUACGUCCCUGCCCUUUGUACACGCCGCCCGUCGCUCCUACCGAUUGAGUGGUCCGGUGAGGCUUUGGGAUCUGAGCGGAAAGAGCGUUUCGCUGUUUCUGCCCGGAAAACUCAGUCGAACCUUAUCAUUUAGAGGAAGGAGAAGUCGUAACA
rnacentral:rRNA from 1 species